CAUUUUCAUCUUUGUGUCCUUAGUACCUGCCACGGUUCCUCGUACCUAAUUGAAUUUCAGUCCUGUGCCAUGGAAGCCUUGAAUUCCAGCGCCCAUUACUUCUUCUGCUGCCAGUGGCUCCCAUUUGUGUUCUCUCCUGUGGCAUCAGAUUUGAUGCAGAAAUGGGAUACCUGUGUACUCAUCAGCUCCUAUUCCUCCAGCUCGACCAAAGUUCUUUUAGCAGUAAAAACCAGUAUGCAAAGAAGAGGAGGGAGAGAUGGACCCAUCAAGCCCUCCUGGGCUCAGAAUAUGUAUGUGUGUGCGCACAUACACAGGUGCAUGUAGCUUUGCAAUAUAAGAUUAAACUGUACACUGUUCUAUAAUCUCCAUUUUUCCAUUCACUGUAUCAUGAACAUCUUCCAAAUCACCAUGUAGUUUUGUAUGACACACAUUUUGAUGACUGAAUAGUAAUGUAUUCUGCACAAUUUGUGUUACCAAAUCUUUACUGAUGGACACAAGUUAUUUAGAGUUUUGAUCAUUAGACACAUAGUUUUAAUAAACAUUCGUAUAUCUUUGCA
rnacentral:lncRNA from 1 species